CCUACGGGAGGCAGCAGUGGGGAAUAUUGGGCAAUGGGCGCAAGCCUGACCCAGCAACGCCGCGUGAAGGAUGAAGGCUCUCGGGUUGUUAACUUUUUUUUAUAGGGACGUAGAAAGUGACGGUAGUUGGGGUAUGAGCGUCCGCUAACUACGGGCCAGCAGCCGCGGUAAUACGUAGGAGGCGAGCGUACUCCGGAUUCAUUGGGUGUAAAGGGCGUGUAGGUGGGAGGGUAAGUCAGAUGUGAAAAUUCAGGGCUCAACCAUGAGCCUGCAUUUGAAACUGGGUUUCUUGAGUGCUGGAGAGGCAAGCGGAAUUCGGGGUGUAGCGGUGAAAUGCGUAGAUAUACGGAAGAACACCGGUGGCGAAGGCAGAUUACUGGACAGUAACUGACGCUGAGGCGCGAAAGCGUGGGGAGCAAACAGGAUUAGAUACCCGAGUAGUC
rnacentral:rRNA from 1 species